rnacentral:rRNA from 1 species
UACAGGGGGUGCAACCGUUGCUCGGAAUUAUUGGGCGUAAAGGGCGCGUAGGCGGCCUGUUAAGUCGAACGUGAAAUCCCCGGGCUCAACCUGGGAACUGCGUCUGAUACUGGAAGGCUCGAGUUCGGGAGAGGAAUGUGGAAUUCCAGGUGUAGCGGUGAAAUGCGUAGAUAUCUGGAGGAACACCGGUGGCGAAGGCGGCAUUCUGGACCGAAACUGACGCUGAGGCGCGAAAGCCAGGGAAGCAAACGGG